AGGGGGGGUGAAUUGGGUUUUAAAAUAAUUUGAAUAAUUAAAACGAUGUGGUUGACUAAUUAAAAAUUAUUGCAAGUUAUUUAAUUAAUGCUAAGUGUUGUGAGUGAUGUGAGGGGAAGAAGAAGAGAGACAAUCCAACACAAACACAAGGUUUUAUAGUGGUUCGGAGCUAACCCUUGCUCCUACGUCCACUCCCCAAGUCUCACUUGGAAAUUCACUAUAACCCCCUUGGAUUGCAGCCGGUUGUUUUCCAAGCUCACAACCAAACUUGUUGUUUUACGAGCUCACGACGAACUCGGUCGGUUUUUCCAGGCUCACCGACUAGAACCACCCCCGAUUGUUUUUCCGGGAUCACAAUCGAACCCUUACACACGUUGGUUUUAACUCGGCUCACCAACCAACCUCAAUCCCC
rnacentral:lncRNA from 1 species